GAAUUAUUGGGCGUAAAGGGCUCGUAGGCGGACGUGUGUGUCGGGCGUGAAAUCUCCACUGCUUAACAGGGAGAGGCCGCUGGAAACUGCACGUCUGGAGUUUGGCAGAGGAAUGUGGAAUUCCGCAUGUAGCGGUGGAAUGCGUAGAUAUGCGGAAGAACACCGGUGGCGAAGGCGGCAUUCUGGGCCAAAACUGACGCUGAGGAGCGAAAGCUAGGGGAGCAAACGGGAUUAGAUACCCCGGUAGUCCUAGCCGUAAACGUUGGAUACUAGGUGUGAGGGGUAUCGACCCCCCUCGUGCCGCAGCUAACGCAUUAAGUAUCCCGCCUGGGGAGUACGGCCGCAAGGUUGAAACUCAAAGGAAUUGACGGGGGCCCGCACAAGCGGUGGAGCAUGUGGUUCAAUUCGACGCAACGCGAAGAACCUUACCCAGGCUCGAAAUGGAGUGGACAAGUAUGGAAACAUACUCUCUUACCUUCGGGUAAGUCGCUAUAUAGGUGCUGCAUGGCU
rnacentral:rRNA from 1 species